GAUGAACGCUGGCGGCGUGCCUAAUACAUGCAAGUCGAGCGAACGGACGAGAAGCUUGCUUUUCUGAUGUUAGCGGCGGACGGGUGAGUAACACGUGGAUAACCUACCUAUAAGACUGGGAUAACUUCGGGAAACCGGAGCUAAUACCGGAUAAUAUUUUGAACCGCAUGGUUCAAAAGUGAAAGACGGUCUUGCUGUCACUUAUAGAUGGAUCCGCGCUGCAUUAGCUAGUUGGUAAGGUAACGGCUUACCAAGGCAACGAUGCAUAGCCGACCUGAGAGGGUGAUCGGCCACACUGGAACUGAGACACGGUCCAGACUCCUACGGGAGGCAGCAGUAGGGAAUCUUCCGCAAUGGGCGAAAGCCUGACGGAGCAACGCCGCGUGAGUGAUGAAGGUCUUCGGAUCGUAAAACUCUGUUAUUAGGGAAGAACAUAUGUGUAAGUAACUGUGCACAUCUUGACGGUACCUAAUCAGAAAGCGACGGCUAACUACGUG
rnacentral:rRNA from 1 species